rnacentral:misc_RNA from 1 species
GAAUCUGACUGACACCUAGUCACUGUAACAGGAAAGAACUACCAAGUUAGAUGAAGUUCCUAGACACUAAAAACCUCCAGAAAAUAAUUUCCAGUGGCAGUUUCCAUUAGAAAAGGACAGCUUCAAACUGCAAAACAAGUAUGAAAAAAAAAAAAAAUCAUAGACUAUCCAAUGUAAAUUGACCAUCAAAAGCAUAGAAUUCAUAACCCAGAAACUAUACAUUACUUAAGUGAUAUUUAAUCAGUUGACUAGUAAUUCUUUUAAUUAGAAAAUUGCUUUUCUUCAUGCAGCAAAAAAUAAAGAUCAAUUACCCUUUAAAAAAGGGAAGCAAAAUUACAAAUACAACCACUUAUGAUCAACAUACAACCACAUAUGAUCAUUCAUUUUGCUUGCCCCCUUUCCACAGACAAAGGGAAUAUCAAGUUAAAUUUAGCUUUCAAAAACCAACCAAAAGCAUCAGCUAAAUCCCACAACCCCAGAACCCAAAUAAAAACACCGUGUUAGCUUGUUUGAAAAGUCCAAUACUUGCAAAAGAACAAUUCAGAGCCGAAAACUCACAAGAACAUCAUUUUAAUCGAUUCAGAUCUCAUUUCUAUAGAUCAAUUUGACCGUAAACGUAAACACAUAAAACAUCUAUCUAUUUAGAGUUUAGCAUAAGCACAGAUCUAGAUCUAAAAUUGGGAAGGAAGAACCUUGAAAGAGAGGAGAAGCGAGGAGGAGGAGAGCGAAGAAGAAAGCCCUAACAUUGUUCAUUUUCGCCAUGCGUAAGGCAGCUUAGUUGGUGGUUGAGAUCAACACGACGCCAAAUACAUAAAUCGAAGUUUGGCUCUACGGUCAAAUGUAAGGUAAUAAUAAAGGGCAUUUAUAUUGUCUGUGGAAAAG